CCUACGGGGGGCAGCAGUGGGGAAUAUUGGUCAAUGGGGGCAACCCUGAUCCAGCCAUGCCGCGUGUGUGAAGAAGGCCCUCGGGUUGUAAAGCACUUUCAGUGAGGAAGAACGCCUGGUGGUUAAUACCCAUCAGGAAAGACAUCACUCACAGAAGAAGCACCGGCUAACUCCGUGCCAGCAGCCGCGGUAAUACGGAGGGUGCGAGCGUUAAUCGGAAUUACUGGGCGUAAAGCGCGCGUAGGUGGCUUGAUAAGCCGGUUGUGAAAGCCCCGGGCUCAACCUGGGAACGGCAUCCGGAACUGUCAAGCUAGAGUGCAGGAGAGGAAGGUAGAAUUCCCGGUGUAGCGGUGAAAUGCGUAGAGAUCGGGAGGAAUACCAGUGGCGAAGGCGGCCUUCUGGACUGACACUGACACUGAGGUGCGAAAGCGUGGGUAGCAAACAGGAUUAGAUACCCCGGUAGUC
rnacentral:rRNA from 1 species